rnacentral:rRNA from 1 species
GUGACUGCGUACCUUUUGUAUAAUGGGUCAGCGACUUAUAUUCUGUAGCAAGGUUAACCGAAUAGGGGAGCCGGAGGGAAACCGAGUCUUAAUUGGGCGUUAAGUUGCAGGGUAUAGACCCGAAACCCGGUGAUCUAGCCAUGGGCAGGUUGAAGGUUGGGUAACACUAACUGGAGGACCGAACCGACUAAUGUUGAAAAAUUAGCGGAUGACCUGUGGCUGGGGGUGAAAGGCCAAUCAAACCGGGAGAUAGCUGGUUCUCCCCGAAAGCUAUUUAGGUAGCGCCUCGUGAAUUCAUCUCCGGGGGUAGAGCACUGUUUCGGCUAGGGGGCCAUCCCGGCUUACCAACCCGAUGCAAACUGCGAAUACCGGAGAAUGUUAUCACGGGAGACACACGGCGGGUGCUAACGUCCGUCGUGAAGAGGGAAACAACCCAGACCGCCAGCUAAGGUCCCAAAGUCAUGGUUAAGUGGGAAACGAUGUGGGAAGGCCCAGACAGCCAGGAUGUUGGCUUAGAAGCAGCCAUCAUUUAAAGAAAGCGUAAUAGCUCACUGGUCGAGUCGGCCUGCGCGGAAGAUGUAACGGGGCUAAACCAUGCACCGAAGCUGCGGCAGCGACACUCAGGUGUUGUUGGGUAGGGGAGCGUUCUGUAAGCCUGUGAAGGUGGGUCGUGAGGCAUGCUGGAGGUAUCAGAAGUGCGAAUGCUGACAUAAGUAACGAUAAAGCGGGUGAAAAGCCCGCUCGCCGGAAGACCAAGGGUUCCUGUCCAACGUUAAUCGGGGCAGGGUGAGUCGACCCCUAAGGCGAGGCCGAAAGGCGUAGUCGAUGGGAAACGGGUUAAUAUUCCCGUACUUGGUGUUACUGCGAAGGGGGGACGGAGAAGGCUAUGUUGGCCGGGCGACGGUUGUCCCGGUUUAAGCGUGUAGGUGUGUGUUCCAGGUAAAUCCGGUUCACUUUAACACUGAGGCGUGAUGACGAGGCACUACGGUGCUGAAGCAACAAAUGCCCUGCUUCCAGGAAAAGCCUCUAAGCAUCAGGUAACAUCAAAUCGUACCCCAAACCGACACAGGUGGUCAGGUAGAGAAUACCAAGGCGCUUGAGAGAACUCGGGUGAAGGAACUAGGCAAAAUGGUGCCGUAACUUCGGGAGAAGGCACGCUGACACGUAGGUGAAGUGAUUUACUCAUGGAGCUGAAGUCAGUCGAAGAUACCAGCUGGCUGCAACUGUUUAUUAAAAACACAGCACUGUGCAAACACGAAAGUGGACGUAUACGGUGUGACGCCUGCCCGGUGCCGGAAGGUUAAUUGAUGGGGUCAGCGCAAGCGAAGCUCCUGAUCGAAGCCCCGGUAAACGGCGGCCGUAACUAUAACGGUCCUAAGGUAGCGAAAUUCCUUGUCGGGUAAGUUCCGACCUGCACGAAUGGCGUAAUGAUGGCCAGGCUGUCUCCACCCGAGACUCAGUGAAAUUGAACUCGCUGUGAAGAUGCAGUGUACCCGCGGCAAGACGGAAAGACCCCGUGAACCUUUACUAUAGCUUGACACUGAACAUUGAGCCUUGAUGUGUAGGAUAGGUGGGAGGCUUUGAAGUGUGGACGCCAGUCUGCAUGGAGCCGACCUUGAAAUACCACCCUUUAAUGUUUGAUGUUCUAACGUGGACCCGUAAUCCGGGUUGCGGACAGUGUCUGGUGGGUAGUUUGACUGGGGCGGUCUCCUCCUAAAGAGUAACGGAGGAGCACGAAGGUUGGCUAAUCCUGGUCGGACAUCAGGAGGUUAGUGCAAUGGCAUAAGC